UACGAAGGGGGCUAGCGUUGCUCGGAAUCACUGGGCGUAAAGCGCACGUAGGCGGAUUGCUAAGUCAGGGGUGAAAUCCUGGAGCUCAACUCCAGAACUGCCUUUGAUACUGGCGAUCUUGAGUCCGGGAGAGGUGAGUGGAACUGCGAGUGUAGAGGUGAAAUUCGCAGAUAUCAGGAAGAAUAUCCGUGGCGAAGGCGGCUCUCUGGUACGGCACUGACGCUGAGACGCGAAAGCGUGGGGAGCGAACAGG
rnacentral:rRNA from 1 species